UACGUAGGGUGCAAGCGUUAAUCGGAAUUACUGGGCGUAAAGCGUGCGCAGGCGGUUUUGUAAGUCUGUCGUGAAAUCCCCGGGCUCAACCUGGGAAUUGCGAUGGAGACUGCAAGGCUAGAAUCUGGCAGAGGGGGGUAGAAUUCCACGUGUAGCAGUGAAAUGCGUAGAGAUGUGGAGGAACACCGAUGGCGAAGGCAGCCCCCUGGGUCAAGAUUGACGCUCAUGCACGAAAGGCGUGGGGAGCAAACGAGGAUUAGAGUACC
rnacentral:rRNA from 1 species